UAAAUUUUGUUAUGAAAAGAAUACACUUCAACUUAUUGUCAAAGCUAAGACAAGAAGCUUAGAAGUCCCGUUCGGAGAAGGUGAGUUAUGCGUUUGUUUUUACUUUUGAGUUCCGCACAAAAUUAAAUAACAAUCAAAUGAAAAUAUAUUUCUAUUCUAAAUAUAUUUUAGUUGAGAUAGGGGGAAAUGUAACGUAGUUACAAAAGGUCAACAAAAAUAUAAUUUUUAUCCAAACCUAAUCGCCAAGUAAGAUAUUUUUCAAUUUCAAAACAUGGGACCAGCGAGGGUUAUCGAUUACCUUUUAGUAACUCGAGAGCCCCUGGUGGUGGGAUUUAGAACCACCAAUUUAAACCUAUCCUGCAGCAAACUUACUGGGAGGAUCUCAUCACUAAAACUAAUGACGAUUAGCCUCAUCAGUUCAUACGAGAACUGAAAUGUUGUUUUUGCCAAAAAAAUACAAUAGAUGACUAUUGAAAAGAGGGCGUCGCGUAGGUCUAGCAUUGUUAAGUCAUCCGAUGAUCUAGCAUUCUCAAAUCGAUCGGUGAGCAAGUUAGAUGUGACCAAACAGUUAAUAGAAAAAAGUGUAAUCUACUCCAUAGUGAUUGAAGAUCGAACGAAAGUUUGUGUAAGCAUAUAGUGUAAACCUGAAAACAGAAAUCAAUUGAACAUACAUUAUUAUUACAGUUUUUGAGAGCAUAACGUGGAAUUUUUAAAAAUCUGAAGUAGGCCCUGUUGCGAAAAGUUUUCAGUAAGACGUUGUGAGUAACCUAGAACAAUAUGUGAAGGAGUAGAAAAUUAUUGAAUUCGUUCUUAUUUUUCAACAAUUCUCGCAGAUAGAAAAACCUUUGAAAUAAGCGUAAAAACUGAAAAACUGUAGUAUCGAAUACUCCCACGAGGCACAGGACACUGCUAUCCUUCAAGCGAAGGUGCUAGUGUAGGGUGUAGGGGAUAGCGACCAGCCACGCUGUCUCUAGGGACGAGUCAGAAGCUCGGCGACUUGUAGGCUCGCCUCGUCGUCCGCGCCAGUAUUCGACCCUCGCGCACCCUGGGCCGAAGGAAUCCACGCCUUCCGGAGGAAUUCGGACGCUACUAACCGAAUAUCGCUCCAUCGGUCUCGAAGGGAGAUUCACACCACGUGAGCGCAUUGGCACCGCCCAUCACCACCCC